GGGGCAGUAGCUCAGUGGUAGAGCUCCCGCUUCGUGUGCAGGAAGACCUGGGUUAGAUUCCUGGCCGCUUAC
rfam:Toxocara canis scaffold940, whole genome shotgun sequence.